UCUAUUUGAUGUGGUCCGGCAAUGCUUCCUUCAAAUCUCGAAGGCACGGUUCACAAAAGAAAAAGAAUCUACAAUUUUCUUCUAGCACCCAUAAGGAUCCAGGUACGUCAACUUGUCGUUUCGUAACUUGGAGGCCUUCGCUACUUGAGAGUGCAUGAAGAGACAUCCGAAAAAGUGGUAAAAGACACAAGCAUGAUAGCGCACGCGUUCAGCCUACAACUGCACGCACCUACGCAUCUACGGUACUACGGAGCUGCUGCUCUGCGGGUACGGAAAGACGGAAUAGUCAAAUACGGAUACAGAGCGAUCAGCAGUGACGCAGAUCAUGCAUCGUGGGAAGGACGCAAAUGGUGAACGCCAAUGACGUGCACUAAUAUGGAAGAUAAGGCGUAUAUAAGCAAAACAACAAUCAGAAUGGGUCUUCGUUCCUUCUCAGUGCCACGGUUUGAUGCCCGGUUGCCAUCCGCUACUGUGCGGCAACGCCAUGUGCUAGACUACCGGCAAUGCACGGUCCCCUUCGUCGCAACCGUCAGCACCAGAGCAACCGAACGGCGCACCAGAAAUUCAUCAAGCGUGACAAGGCUCCGCGUGAAAGUGAGGGCGAAGUCUGGCGUCAGUCGGGGUACCCUCGCCGUCAGUGCGCGGGGCGAGAUAGCAGCGCCCCGGUGUGGCCCGGCAGCCGCUCCGGUCAUCUAAGCCGUGGUCCUUUUACUUUUUUGGCGGACAGUAGACUGUUUUCACCAUGCCUUCAUUGUGAAAAUACCAAGUGGACAAGCAACGGAAAGCUUUCUGUGUGCGUGAGAGAGCCUAAUGUACAGUCAUAGAAAGCUGACUCUAGAAACCGACGAUGACUGUGCGUCAUAUGAACGGCGCAUCGUUCCUCCGGUAGACCGGAAUACCUGGCGACCACAGUAUGUACGAGUGCUUUUCACUUAUGUAGACGCUCUUAGUGAGCCAUAUAGCGCGAAGUUGUGCGCUAAGCGUGACAUUUCAGUGCUCGGGUUGUGCGACAGUGUUGGUGUCAUGGUAACCGUGAGCGCAGGCUUUGUUAUCUCUCAUCAGUCAUGAAAAUGCUUUUGAUUAGUAUGUUUAUGUUCCUUCCAACGCACUCUUUUAUUCCUUUUCUAGAAAACAUUGCCCAACAGGGCAGCAGCAGUAACCAACCAAUUUUCAGGUUGCUUCACUGGAGAACAAACUAGCUCCCUCUGAGAACCGCGCAGUUGAAAUCCGCUGGCCGUAGAGUUCUUGCGGCUAAUUUUAUCUAAUCUUUACCACGCCGUCAUGAGUGUGAAGAGAGUGACACUUCUUCCGUUGAGAGGGUGGUGCCCUUACCUCACCAUGACCUCUUCGUUUAUUGCUAUAACAAUAACACGCACACUCCAAGCACAUUUUCGCCAUGGCACCAGCUUUUUCGUUUAUUCACGCUGCCGCAAACACAUUACUGUACGCCAAGCGUGUUAACAUAUUUUUUUCUCUCCUGCUGCCAAUCAGCAUACGCAGAAAGGCCCUGGAUUGAACAUGAUUUGGGGCUCCCUGUUUCUAAUCCUCACAGCAGUGCUUGUCACUGCACUGGGUGAAACCAUAAUUGUUCAAACGGGAUCAUCGGAUUCAACGAAUGUAAUAGUCCCAUCAUCAGGCUCUGCGUCCACAAUUGUUAUCAAAAAAGAGCCACCGAAAGUGAUUGUAAUUAACGACGAGCCAUCUCCUAUCGUCGUGCAAGUUCGAUGAUCGUUAUGGAGUCUCGUGGAGACGACUUUGAUCCAGCGACAGGAAAACGCCGGCACUCCGGACUGGACCCCGGUGAACAUGAUGCAGGGACAACAAAGAGAUCACAAAGCAAGGACUUCCUUGAGUGCACUUUACCCCUAUGAUGGAAGAGAUAUUCCACCGUCUACAGUUCUGAAGCUGUUAUAAUGGACAUUGCGUUCUUUAACUGCAUGUAAAAUGGACCUGAUAAUAUCGGCUUUAGAUAAAUGUCCAAUAUUUAAUGGCAAUUUGACGCCAAUUGUUUUAGCAGUUGGAAACAUCUCUAGGUAUAGGCCAAUGAUAAAGUUUUCAAAACCAACAGCUGUAUGAUAUGCAUUUUGCGUCGUUUACUAGUUGCGUUACGUUAGGAAGGGCUGCCUGACUUUUCCAUCUGUGCCGACAACUAUUUUUGCUCCCGUACCAUUUUGCUGCCUUUGCUCAUAUAUCUAAAGUGAAACAUAAGAAACAUAGCAGUGAAGCUCUCUCAUGAAUUGUGGUUCUUACCGGUCACGCGAAAGGCCCACGCCGCCACAUACGACGUUGUGGUGAAUUUCACUGGUCAAUUUCGAGCAGUUCUCGCUCAUGGGAAAGAACAAGACCUACACUUGGUCGAUUAGGUCUAGAAAUGACAUAUUAGUGGUAGAUACAACUCAUCGUGCUUUUAUUAAUCUUUAUGCAGUCUGAAUCGUGAGACAAGAAAUUGUCGAUCCUAAUUAAACAGUAAAAUCUUUAUCAUGGAGGCGGCACAGAACUCCCCUCUAUAUGCCGCGAGGAAUCGCUUUGCGUUUUCAAGCCAAAUAACUAAAUAUAUUGCCAGGAUCUUAAUUUACAUAAAUCGCAAUAUCGGGGAACUUGAUAGCCAGCCGAGCUCCAUCUUGGUUAGAUUCCCUGCGUUUCAUUUAUCCUUUUCUUCUCUCUCUGUCUCGAUAAUAGUUACGCAUGAUGAGCACUUUCAUUUAUGAUGUUAGCUAAAGCUUAUUUAUAGCUUGUGCUAACUAAAUAAAAGAAUAAAGCACCUAUGACUACCUCAGA